GUUGGUCUCCCGCAUAGGACUCGAAACGACAAGAAUAAACCAAGUUAUGAGCUUUUGGUUGAUCUAGAAAUAGCUGAAACGCUUGAGAAUCCUGAAGAUUGGUUUAAUGCUGAGGAAAUUCCAACCGUAUCACUUAGUGGUUCUGUAUAUUAUUACGAGAUUCCGCAAGCAUUACUUGAAAGAGGAAGUGCGCCACUAAGACUGAUUGCUUUUCUAGCACAGAUGAAGUUCGUACCAGUGCAUGCUAUCGCAGAGCUAAGAAUCAAGUCACUCAGGAAAGCUAAUCCAUGGGGAAUAGAAAUCCCCGUCUGA
rnacentral:lncRNA from 1 species